rnacentral:rRNA from 1 species
AUUGAACGCUGGCGGCAGGCCUAACACAUGCAAGUCGAGCGGGGUGAUGGUGCUUGCACUAUCACUUAGCGGCGGACGGGUGAGUAAUGCUUAGGAAUCUGCCUAUUAGUGGGGGACAACAGCUCGAAAGGGAUGCUAAUACCGCAUACGUCCUACGGGAGAAAGCAGGGGAUCACUUGUGACCUUGCGCUAAUAGAUGAGCCUAAGUCGGAUUAGCUAGUUGGUGGGGUAAAGGCCUACCAAGGCGACGAUCUGUAGCGGGUCUGAGAGGAUGAUCCGCCACACUGGGACUGAGACACGGCCCAGACUCCUACGGGAGGCAGCAGUGGGGAAUAUUGGACAAUGGGGGGAACCCUGAUCCAGCCAUGCCGCGUGUGUGAAGAAGGCCUUAUGGUUGUAAAGCACUUUAAGCGAGGAGGAGGCUCUUUUGGUUAAUACCCAAGAUGAGUGGACGUUACUCGCAGAAUAAGCACCGGCUAACUCUGUGCCAGCCGCCGCGGUAA